GACGAACCGUGCGAACGUUGUUCGGAAUCACUGGGCUUAAAGGGCGCGUAGGCGGGCUGCCAAGUCCGGGGUGAAAGCCCCCCGCUCAACGGGGGAACGGCGUUGGAUACUGGCGGCCUGGAGGAAGGUAGGGGCAGAUGGAACUCUCGGUGGAGCGGUGAAAUGCGUAGAGAUCUGGAAGAACACCAAAGGCGAAGGCAGCGUCCUGGGAAGCAUCUGACGCUCAGGUGCGAAAGCUAGGGGAGCGAACGGG
rnacentral:rRNA from 1 species